rnacentral:rRNA from 1 species
AGCGGCGGACGGGUGAGUAACACGUGGGCAACCUGCCCUGCAGAUCGGGAUAACUCCGGGAAACCGGUGCUAAUACCGAAUAGUUUGCGGCCUCUCCUGAGGCUGCACGGAAAGACGGUUUCGGCUGUCACUGCAGGAUGGGCCCGCGGCGCAUUAGCUAGUUGGUGGGGUAAUGGCCCACCAAGGCGACGAUGCGUAGCCGACCUGAGAGGGUGAUCGGCCACACUGGGACUGAGACACGGCCCAGACUCCUACGGGAGGCAGCAGUAGGGAAUCUUCCGCAAUGGACGAAAGUCUGACGGAGCAACGCCGCGUGAGUGACGAAGGUUUUCGGAUCGUAAAACUCUGUUGUGAGGGAAGAACACGUACCAGCUAACUACUGGUACCUUGACGGUACCUCACCAGAAAGCCACGGCUAACUACGUGCCAGCAGCCGCGGUAAUACGUAGGUGGCAAGCGUUGUCCGGAAUUAUUGGGCGUAAAGCGCGCGCAGGCGGUCCUUUAAGUCUGAUGUGAAAGCCCACGGCUCAACCGUGGAGGGUCAUUGGAAACUGGAGGACUUGAGUGCAGAAGAGGAAAGUGGAAUUCCAUGUGUAGCGG